UUGCAAUAUUCUAUUAUCUAUGAUUAGGGCAUCGAGCCCGGGUUUACCCGGGCCGUAAAAACCCGGGUUUUCCCGGUUCUGAGGAUUACAAAAAAAAACGGGUUUCAAUUUUUAAAACUCGGGUUUUCGGGUUUUUCGGGUUUUUUUUUUAUACUUUUGUUUUUGUUGUUUAUUAAGUUUAAAGCACUUUGAAUGCAAUAAUAAGUAAAUUGAAUAAAAAUUCGCUUUGAUAAAUUAUUAUUUAUGACACAAAAAGUAGCUUCCUUGCUACGUUCCUACCCAUAAACAAGACAUGCAAGUUAAAUGCGCGUCCAUCUCAGGACAUGAGAGGGGUGAACUGUGGAGCAGUUGAGAGGGGAGGGUGUAUCGUUGCGCGGGUGAUGAAUACCGGCGCCAUUUGAGACUGAUGCCAACCCAAGUAUGCAGCUUAUGGAGUCUCAUAUGACUGCAGUUGAUGGAAUUUCUCUUAGAACGUUCUCAAAAUCACAAGAUUUAAAGUACCUUUCUGAAAAGACCGGCAACAAAUUACCAACUACUGCUGAUACCGUUCGCCACAUAAUUCUCAAAGACUUUGAUAAAAGGAAGCUAGAAAUAAUAAACGAGAUAAAAAUUAUACUGUCAGAUGAAAAGAAGUUUUCGAUAUCAUUCGAUGAAUGGACAUCUAUGAAAAAUAGAAGAUAUAUAGGGAUCACUUUACAUUCACCAAAUUUUGCAAGGGAUAGCAGUUUUCGAAAUCUAGGUCUCAUACGCAUUCACGGGUCCAUGAAUGCUUACAAUUGAUUGAGGCCAAAAGAUCGAAAUGCUCGAAAAAACCGGUCUACCCGGGUUUUGAUUACUCUUAAACCCGAUAACCCGGGUUUUCAGAAUUGAACCGAGUUUCGAUGCCCU